AUUGAACGCUGGCGGCAGGCCUAACACAUGCAAGUCGAGCGGUAACAGGAAAUAGCUUGCUAUUUUGCUGACGAGCGGCGGACGGGUGAGUAACGCAUAGGAAUUUGCCCAGUAGUGGGGGAUAGCCCGGAGAAAUUCGGAUUAAUACCGCAUACGCCCUAAGGGGGAAAGCAGGGGAUCUUCGGACCUUGCGCUAUUGGAUAAGCCUGCGUGAGAUUAGCUAGUUGGUGAGGUAAGGGCUCACCAAGGCGACGAUCUCUAGCUGGUCUGAGAGGAUGAUCAGCCACACUGGAACUGAGACACGGUCCAAACUCCUACGGGAGGCAGCAGUGGGGAAUAUUGCACAAUGGGCGAAAGCCUGAUGCAGCCAUGCCGCGUGUGUGAAGAAGGCUCUAGGGUUGUAAAGCACUUUCAGUAGGGAGGAGAAGUCGAUAGUUAAUACCUAUCGGCCGUGACGUUACCUACAGAAGAAGCACCGGCUAACUCCGU
rnacentral:rRNA from 1 species